rnacentral:lncRNA from 1 species
AUUAGGGUUCUAAAGGUCUGGUUAAUGCUUUGAUGACACCACGCAGAUGCCAAAUUUUUCCUCAAGUAAACAUGAGGAACAUCAGGACAUCCAAAGUGUCACAUUAACCGUAGCCAUCAUUUUAACCAUUCCAGUAUACGCCGGAUAGUCGCGAUGAUCUCUUGCUACUUACCUAAGGUACACUAGAUCCAGGUGUAGGAUCUUUCACUCAAGCAUAAAAUACCCAAGCAAUCCCUUAAAAGUAAAUCAGACAAUUC